AUACAGAGGGUGCGAGCGUUAAUCGGAUUUACUGGGCGUAAAGCGUGCGUAGGCGGCUGAUUAAGUCGGAUGUGAAAUCCCUGAGCUUAACUUAGGAAUUGCAUUCGAUACUGGUCAGCUAGAGUAUGGGAGAGGAUGGUAGAAUUCCAGGUGUAGCGGUGAAAUGCGUAGGGAUCUGGAGGAAUACCGAUGGCGAAGGCAGCCAUCUGGCCUAAUACUGACGCUGAGGUACGAAAGCAUGGGGAGC
rnacentral:rRNA from 1 species